CAUAUAACAUAACACAACACAAGCUGACAUGGUUUGCUUUGAAGUGACAUGUGCAUCAUCUUGGAAUGAAGCUUGAGGAAACAGUACAAGAAGACAGGAAUCUGUGAGCUGACAAUCAGAACAGAGGAUGCCACAUGGAUUGAGUUUAAUGUGGAUGACAUGAGGUGAAUAAAUUAAACAUGGAAAAGAUAUUUUUCAAAAAUAUGUAGGAACAUAUUUUUGUCAAAGGGAAAAUGCAUCAAACUGAGCAUCAAAUUCAGAAGAAAUCAUUAAAAGGCUUGGAAAACAGAAAACAUGUCUUCUCUGCCUUUAGAAUAACAGCUCUUUGUUUCGAAGACAUCUGCUUUUAAUUUCCAGACUAAAUAUAUGAAGCUGUAGCUAUGAUCUAAAGGAGGUACAGCCCUUUGAACAAGUUUCAGAAACUGGAAAUAUCACCCCAGAGGUCUUUCCUCCCAAGGGAACAACACAGAAUCCACCAACAAUAGAAGAAAACUUUCACUCAGUAAUUCACAAAUAGACAAUAAAAAUAGUAAAAAGAAAUUUUAAAAACUAAAACAAAAUUAAAAAAACUCUGAAUGCAAGCAAAAUACCAUUGUCAUUAUUGAAAAUACCAUAUAUAGAACACAUUUGUGUCUAGUAGAGGGACCAAAACAUAGCACUAUGACAAUGAAAACAUAAGAUGUUUACAUUAGAGCAAUCAUGGGAUAAAGGAUAGUAAAACCAAGCAUCCAAAAUGUUUUUGCACUAUGGAUCUAGAGUCCAAUCGAUAAUGUGAUAUAAAGGUAGAUGGCGUAGACCAGGUAACAGCCCUGCAUAUGUCCAUUAAAGGGACACCUGUCAAAAAUACUGCUGAGACUGCUGUGGCCCUGGUGGCAUGAGCAUGUACUCAGAGGGUGGAAGCCCCGUGAGUUCAUAACAGGUAAGGAUUAGUUUCACAAUCCACUUAGAGAAUUGUUGGUCUGAAAGAGGGUAACCCUUAUUAUCAGUCCUGUAAC